GUUCUUUUGCGCUCCACAAGACUUGUUGGAGUCUCCACGAUGGUUAACGAACCUAAUCCUAGCAUUAAAGCUGGUACGCCUGCAAUUCCAAGAGAAAUUCUGAAACCGUAUGGAUGAACUUUUCCAGUGAAGUAGUUAACGACGUUGGCAACCAAGAUUCCAAUUGUUACGAAGAGUUGGAAGCAAAUAUUUAGUGCUCCACGGAUCUUGACUGGAGCUAGCUCUGAAAGAAACAGUGGCACUGCUUGAUUGGCA
rnacentral:misc_RNA from 1 species